rnacentral:hammerhead_ribozyme from 1 species
CCACUGCUGAGGAGUCCAACGACAGGACGAAACAACCGUCCAGUGU